rnacentral:misc_RNA from 1 species
AAGAGGAGCACCGCGGACAAAACAACCUUAAAAGAGGAAUUAAGUUGCUCUUACCAACAGUUAAUUAUCAAAUUCUAAGAAAUCAAAAGCAAAAAUUUAAAGUCGGCAACACAAGCAUGAUCAUCAUCAUCAUAAAUAAGAACAAUAACGGGACCCCACUUUGAUGAGCAAGAAGCGUUGCUUUGACAAAGGAUAUGUUCUGAGGAUCCAUUCUGCCUUGACAAGCGCAAGUCUGGUGCCAUUGUCAAAUACCCUGACCAACUAUGGCCAUGAAAAUAUGUAAAGGAAAAUAGUGGUUAACUGCAAGAAUUGGGAAGAAUAUAUUGCUCACGUGUAGUAGUAGCAACCAUUUGUUCCGAGAACCUGUGAUUGUGAGUCCAACCAUUCAGUGAACAAACUGAAUUUGUUCCAGCAUGAUUUCAAACAAAAACUCAAACAGAGCCCUCCAAAAAGAUUCUGAAAAGUGACUACUAGGACAGAACAUCUUCUGCAUGAAAUAUAUGCUCAAGGAAAUCUACAAUUUUCAUUAAAAAAACCUUAAAUGAAAUUAAAAAAAGAUAUAGCAGUAAUUGAGGAAUAUGUGAAAAGAGAUGCAUGAAGGUUAGAGAAUGAAUAACCUUAAUAGUGAAAUGAAUUUAGUGGCAAUCCUUUCACCCUUUCACCAACCACGAAGUGGCACUACUUUGGUCUUUGCUUUAACAAAAGGUGGCCGCUGCAAAAAGAAGGCCUGGCAAAUGCAAUUCCCUCAUCAAAUCUGGAGCUUUUAUGGAAAUGGACUAAUUUGAUUAUAUUCUAUGAAAUGAAUUUGAUUAUAUGGAAAUGGACUAAUUUGACUUGGGAUGCAAAUGGAACAUAUGUUCGGCAACCCUUUCACCCUCUUCCAUGUCCAUCCAGAACCAAAAAGCACUAAGCAAACCCGAUCUGCUUCAAUGGGCAUUUCCUUUAUAAACUCCUCAGCUUCUAGUAGGCGUCCUGACUAAGCACGCAUAAUGCUUUAAAGUUGGAGUUACUCCACAGAAUU